GAGAGAUGCUCUUUCUUGAUGUGGGAUACGGGCCUUAGACAAGUCGUAUUUUCCCAUAUCAGAAGGGCAUUUCUUUUAUUCCCAUGCCGCUGGAACCCGAACUACAUCGGUGGAUCCAG
rnacentral:sRNA from 1 species